rnacentral:lncRNA from 12 species
AUGUACACGCGCGCACACGCCGCACACACACAUGCACACACGCGCACACGCGCGCACGCACACACUGACCCUCAGUCUGCUCAUCUGCGAAGUGGUGACGAUGAAUGGGCCUCCCCGGGAACGGGCACCGGAGGAACCGACGUGGCGCCGGCGAAGCGCGUGCCUCAGCGCUGCGAGAGCGACCAGCAGCACCCAGCGGGGAGACCUGGGCCGGACCCUUCCUCCACCGCAGGCCUCAGUUUGCUUGGCCGGAAAUGGGGAUCCUCCGAGGUUGGGCGAGGACCUGAAGCCAUCAAGGGCGCGGGAGCCGGGAGACCAGAGGAACCCCUCCCCCCAUCACGUGCUGAGCCCUUACCCGGGCUGGGGGAGGGGGAGGGAGAGUCCGGCAUCCCCGGGACAAAGGGGACCCCUGGCUGGGACAGGCCCAGCAAUUGCUCUGGGGGUGGGGGGGGGAGACUGGACCUGGUCACUCUCACUUUUCAGGUGAAAAAAUUGAGACGAGAGAAAGGGGCCCGCUCUCGCCUUGCCCCCGCCCCUCCGCGAAGAACGGUACUGAGACCCGCGGGGCCAGAAAGGCAGGGUCCUCACCGUGGGGUGGGGCGGGGCGGGGCGGGGCGGGGUGGGGCCGGGUGGGGGUGGGGGUGGGGCCCGCGGUUAGGCACCCGCAGCGCCGCUACCGCUACGGAUCUGAAGGCUCCGGACCUGGCCUGGGCCCCGACCCGAGCCUCCCCCAGCCGGAGCCUCCCCCGCCAGCGGCCUGGGUUGGCACCUCGCUCCCGCCUGCCGAGGCUGGAGACCCCGCAGACCCCCCUGCUGUCUCACACCCGGCGGAACAAAGGAUGGAAUAGGCAGCCGGCUCGCUGCGCAGGCGGGCCAGUGGCAUCCCUUCUCUGUGCCUCAGUUGGUCUGCACGUAAAAUGGAAAAGUUCAGCCCUACCGAAGGGAGUCUGCAGUUUCCGUGAGAUGCUGUGGACGGAUUUUGGUGAGAAAGGAGAGAGCCGAGUCCAGCUUAGCGGAGGACUCCCGACAUCCGAGCCCUCAGAAACACUAGCCUUUGCAGGAGCUGGAGGUGGGGGGCUAGUGCUGCUUGUGAACAGCUCUCCAUCUGGGAGGGGCCCGCAGAAGGUGGGAAACGGGAGCAGCACCACCUCUGUAGGGGAGUGA